rnacentral:rRNA from 1 species
UUUCUUCGGAAUGAAGUUUUUGUGACUGAGUGGCGGACGGGUGAGUAACGCGUGGGUAACCUGCCUCAUACAGGGGGAUAACAGUUGGAAACGACUGCUAAUACCGCAUAAGCGCACGGCAUCGCAUGAUGCAGUGUGAAAAACUCCGGUGGUAUGAGAUGGACCCGCGUCUGAUUAGCCAGUUGGUGGGGUAAUGGCCUACCAAAGCAACGAUCAGUAGCCGACCUGAGAGGGUGGUCGGCCACAUUGGGACUGAGACACGGCCCGAACUCC